GACGAACGCUGGCGGCGUGCUUAACACAUGCAAGUCGAACGGAAAGGCCCUGCUUGCAGGGUACUCGAGUGGCGAACGGGUGAGUAACACGUGGGUGAUCUGCCCUGCACUUCGGGAUAAGCCUGGGAAACUGGGUCUAAUACCGGAUAGGAGCCAUUUUUAGUGUGAUGGUUGGAAAGUUUUUUCGGUGUAGGAUGAGCUCGCGGCCUAUCAGCUUGUUGGUGGGGUAAUGGCCUACCAAGGCGGCGACGGGUAGCCGGCCUGAGAGGGUGGACGGCCACAUUGGGACUGAGAGACGGCCCAGACUCCUACGGGAGGCAGCAGCGGGGAAUAUUGCACAAUGGGCGCAAGCCUGAUGCAGCGACGCCGCGUGGGGGAUGACGGCCUUCGGGUUGUAAACUCCUUUCGCUAGGGACGAAGCUUUUUGUGACGGUACCUAGAGAAGAAGCACCGGCUAACUACGUG
rnacentral:rRNA from 1 species